UCCUUAGCGAUCUUCGCGUUCUCUGGUCCAAGCAGAGCCAAGCCGUGUGUGCUCUUCCCGAGGCCCAGGUACCUGCAAGGCAGGCGGGCAGGGUGAGUCAGGGCUGUCGUCCGCCUCAGGGGCCUGCGGGGGGCAGAGCAGGUCUCCAACACUGGAGCCCCUGGUGGUACUCACUUGUUGCUCACAUCGAUGAGACCCUCUCGGUGGACCGCAAAGAGCUGCUCCCUGUGCGCCUGCUUCACCUCAUCCGAGAGGCCGUACAGGAAAUGCUCCAGCCCUGGAAGAGAACACGGGUGACGCACGGGAAGAGGUCCAGCCCCGAGAGAGAAGGCAGGUGACGCAUGGGAAGAGGUCCAGCCCCGAGAGAGAAGGCAGGUGACGCACGGGAAGUGGUCCAGCCCUGGAAGAGAACACGGGUGACGCACGGGAAGAGGUCCAGCCCCGAGAGAGAAGGCAGGUGACGCACGGGAAGAGGUCCAGCCCUGGAAGAGAACACGGGUGACGCAUGGGAAGAGGUCCAGCCCUGGAAGAGAACACGGGUGACGCACGGGAAGAGGUCGAGCCCCGAGAGAGAAGGCAGGUGACGCACAGAAGCUGGCGGGGGCAGCAUUCGAGGCUGCCUUGGGUGCUGACCUUGUUCCACAGUCACUUUAUGGACAUAUUUUGAAAGGUCAAACCUUUGACCUUCACCUUCCCACAAAGCCUAUCCCCUUUGGGGUGAGGAUGAAGACUGAGUGAGGGCCACACUGGAAUGGUCUCCAGCAGCACUUGGGUCACACAGCCCGGGGACCCUCAGUUAGCCUCCUGGGCCUCAGAUGGUUCAAGCUCUGAAAUGAUGGGAUUUGACCCUUCCAACUGGCAAGGGGGAGACGCUCUUGCCCCGGGGGCCAAGAAGCACAUCUCAAGGUCACAGGAGGAGGCCGGGAGGUGGGGUAAGAUGAGCACACAACUCAAGGACUCUGCGUGGCGUCCGGUCUGGUGACACCACGUACCAAGGAGCUCUUUGUGAUUUACUCCCAAUACCUUUGUCUGAAGGAGCCACAGGAGCAUCUACGGCGGAGAAAACGGAGAGCUUUGCUUCGUCAAUGUCCUGCUGUGUGAAUCUCCCCGACUUAGCCCAGUCCACGGCCUUCGCAAAAGACUGGAGC